UAUCCCGGCAUUCAAGACUGACCCGGCAAACCCCGGCAAAGAACUUAUUUUAUGAAUGAAAGCUAUUAAGAAAUAAAUCAUACGCGGUUAAAGAGUUCAUGUCAUGUAAUAUUUUGUGAAAUAGCUUUUAUGUUUCAAAUGAUUUUUUUCAGCAGCAAUCGAACUAUUGUAUUUGUUUGAGUAAAUUAUUUGGAUUAUACCUAUCACAGUGUGUCAACGUUAUGCCUAUUGUUAUUUUGGACUAUAGGGUGUAGUUUUUAAAGUCAUACACAAUAUGGCGGCGAUUAUGCGGAAAUGAAAUUGAAUGUUACUUCGAACACGUUCUUCUACAAAAUAACCGACCUGCAUUUAGUGCUAUUGCUUUAACAUCAAUCGAAGCAAAAAUGGCAUCAAUGUAUGCGUCUAAAAAUGUUAAAUUUAGAUGGAGACAAUCCAGAAAUGAGCUGCCAGGAAGUGAUCGAUUUCGGACACGAAGAUUGAGAAGUGCCUGGAUACAAGGCUAGUAUUGUUAACAUCAUCUGAUACAAUCAACUGGAACAAAGCUGAAAUGGCUGCCUGACCUGACUUAAAAAUUGGAUGGCAGUACAUCAGACUAGAAGAUUACAAGUAUUGAGGUGACAAAAUGAAACCUGAGCCUACCAAAGCUGACAGAUUGCACAAGAAACACAUAAAUGCAGAUUGGAAGAUUCAUUCUCUGGAAAGUAGAAAGGGGCAUGUUACAUACUGUUAUCACUGCCAUGACAGAAACCAUAUUGAGGAGCUGGUCCACCUGUAGGAAGAAUUGCACUAUUGGUUGGAGCAGCACUAUUACCCAGCCAUACACCAGCACUUAGUUUGUCAUAGGGAGCAUUUCUGAGCAGUUAUGGAGACCACUAACUAUGCAGUUGUUGCAGUGAAACUUGCACCAGUGUGUUUUCUGUGGAGAUAAAGAGAUAGUGUCCAGCAAUGAAGACCCAACUCAAGAUCUGACCUUGUAAGGCCAAUAUGAAAUAACUGUGUGGGAAAAUGGGAAAAACCUGCAGUCAGGAAUGCACGGAAAUCAUCAAAAGAACAGUGUUAAAUUAAUCUUGAAUAACUUGACAUUUAUUUUGUUUGACAUAUUUAUUCAUGGUGCAGUGAAAACAUUCUUUUUUUCUCAUGGUUAUUUAAAUUUAGAAUUGAUAGGAGGGAACAUCACUAUGUAGUUUCAUGUUCAUAGUCAGAUCAAAACCCAUGUACAUGCCCAAAUGAGCAUUCGAAAAUAUCAAAAUGAUACUUGUUGUAUGUAGUGUAAGUUAAUUAACAUAAUAAACAAAAAUAUUUAA